UACGAAGGGGACUAGCGUUGUUCGGAAUCACUGGGCGUAAAGCGCGCGUAGGCGGACCUGCAAGUCGGGGGUGAAAGCCCGAGGCUCAACCUCGGAACUGCCUUCGAUACUGCGGGUCUCGAGUCCGGGAGAGGUGAGUGGAAUUCCUAGUGUAGAGGUGAAAUUCGUAGAUAUCAGGAAGAACACCAGUGGCGAAGGCGGCUCACUGGCCCGGUACUGACGCUGAGGCGCGAAAGCGUGGGGAGCAAACAGG
rnacentral:rRNA from 1 species